GGAGGAGGCAUCCAAAGGGAUCGCAUUGAUCCCAAAUCAAAGCUUUCAUGUUAUCUCUUCCCACUCACCAAUAUUUAUUUGGGAUCAUGCUAUCCCUUUGGAUUUCUCCUU
rfam:Cajanus cajan Scaffold131842_3, whole genome shotgun sequence.